AGAAAAAGCAUUAAAGGUGACCCUAUCUGCGCAUGGAUUCAUAUGUAUAUUUAAUUAGUGUCACACUAAAAAAUGAGCUACCUAGCAGUUACCCUGCUCCAGUCAAGCACAUUGCUUGGGUCCCUUAGAACAGUACAGGGGUCCUCAAAAAGCACUACACAUAAAUAUUAUACCCUUAAGUAUAAAACUUUUUUCAUUCUAAGCUGUGAAGGAUUUGCAAAGGACUUAAAAGUCUCCAGAUCUAUCAGAAAGCUUAGUAGAUCUCUCAGCGUAAUUUGACUAUUACAGUAAUGAGCUGUCAAAGCAGACAAUAUAUCUAUUUAAUAUAGUCAUUUGGAACUGACAGAACACAUUUUACUUAAAUUCACAAAAAGCCACCUAAGAGAAAGUUCAAUUUCAGUUGAAGUUUGGUUUCUUCCAAUUCCAGGCUGAAGGACAGAUAAAAAUAUGCUGACCACCACAAAAAUAAGAUCAAACCGAAGUAUUCAAUGAGCUUGCAGGCACACAACUGUUUCAAAAAGCUGAAAUUUAAGGACUUUUCUGUUUGUUCCCUAUCCACAGAAAUAUUGCAAACCACCAAGUCCUGUUCUGAGACAAGAGAACCAUAGUCCCUUUACCUAGUUCUAAAAAACAGUUAUAAAGCCCAGAGGUGCCAGGAGGGAAGGGAGCAGUCCCCCAUAAGGGAAAUAUUGUGGAGGUUUCUGCCUCUGCAUAAACUCACCUGGUGGCAUUGAUGCUAGCAGGACACAAGCGGUGGAGCAACAGCUAUGGGGCCCAAGAUCAGGACCUAGAGAGGCCCAAACAGCUGUGGUGGGGACUUGGAUCAGGCCAGGAAGCAGGAUCCAGAAGGUUGAACAGCAACCAUAAGGCCCAGAAUUGGGCUGGGGAACAGAGAAUGAAACCCAGAAGGACUGGAAUGGGCCAGGAAGCAGGGCAAGUCUGAACCAUAAGAUUGAGGUCUUCAAUUUCAUUUUGGAUCAUCCUGUUAUGGAAAAUUGGACAACCUACGGACUAAUUCUGGAAGAACACUUUGCAACUCUAGAGCUCACCAUCUCUACUAUGAAACUGACCUAAGAACUACAUUCAUGUCUACAUUUCCUCUUAUUCAAGCUCACUAAUGCUUACAGGGACUCUUCAGUCUCCACACAGCUUUAUAAAACAACAACAACUACAUAGGUAAGACAACAACAUGUCUGCAAAGCACAAGGUAUUUAUAGAUUACCCAAAAUUGAAAACUCAGUUUGAAUGGGUAGGUCAGAUCAGUGCACCUGGCAACAGAAAUAAGUUUUUUUCGACUGAGGCAAAAACACAUUUGCCUGUUCCCCUGCAUAGUCAGGGUCACAGAUUUUCAUAGUAGUGUUGCCCUUUUGCCAAGCAAUAGCAUAAAUUUGGGGCCCUGUGUGUCAGCUUCCCAUUUGGAGCAAAAUCUGUGAUAAACUAAAGUCAGGUAUUAUCUUAGUGUCAUUUAUUUCCAAAAUAUACAUCAAUGCAAUUUCCCUAAACAGCAGUAGGAACAAACCACAUGUAGAUAUCUGGAAUUCCUGCAAAGGAGGCUAAGAAACCACUGCUUUCUCUCAAGCAGCAACUAUUUCAAACCUCUGCCUCUCUCCAGGAACCCAGCAGUCAGAUACAGACUACUUCCUUCCAGGAGACAAAGAUGCUCACAUGUUCUGACUACUUAACACACAACUUUGUUCCAGCCCUCACAUCAGAAACUGGGGUGACCAGAUGAGGGGAAGAAAAUAUUGGAACACAUGGGGGUGGGGCUGAGGUCACCGGCGGAGCAAAAAAAUGCCAAGUGUUGUGAAAUAGCGGGACAAAUUGCAUCCCAACCAAAGACUGGAACAUGGGACAAAUGUCUAAAUAUUGGGAUGUCUGGUCACCCUACCAGAAACCCAGGUAAUCCCAUUAGCACUACACUCGCCCUCUGGACUACAUGAUCUCUCCAGGUGCCUCCUGGAAUCAGCCCUCACCCUUUUAGGGCAAAAUAAAGGAGUCAGCUACUCCUACUAUUGGACACUAAGGAGAUUGCUUUACUUUAAUUUUGCCAGUGAUCACCUUUGCAUCCAUGACCUCCAGUAGCAAUAUAACAGUAGUAAAAAAUGACAGGAACAAAAAUUUUGGAGCCAGAAAACAAUCUGAAAGGUAUACAAGAAAGUGUUCAAGUUUACAAAGGCAAUAUCACAUGCACCAACUUCCUGCCAAAUGAGGCAUCGUAAGAGUCUAAGAUUAUUUA